AAUGGAAUUAUAGAUAUUCAGAAGCUUUCCCUCAUUUUCGGAGUGAUCAAGGGAUCUCGGAAGAUAAGAAACUGGAACCAAAAUAUCUGGGACCAUUGCUGAAGAUAAGGUGAGACGAAAUUUCUUGAUAUAACUUUUGAGCAUUCGAAUAAUUUCUUCAUUGAGAACCAAAUAAGGAAACUUUGCGUCAGGCUCAGGGAAAAGGAUAAAAACAACUAACACACGCUCAUCGAUGAUUAAGAGAUCGCAGUCUGAUAUAGCUUCUUCAGUAAGCAGUAGAUUCUCUCGAAAGUCUUUCAAAUUGAUCUGAUAUUGCCGGUACUUAACAAAGUUGGAAAAGUUAAAAGUCAGUUUUUCAAAUGAUCCCUUAGUUAAAUUCGAGAAUAUCUUGUCAAUUGUUUGUAAUAGUUGAUUAGCAACGUCGCCAUCAACACGUGCUAAAUCUAAAGAAGUCAACCAGUUUAGUGUGUCUCCUUGUAUCUCAAACUGUAUUGCUAUCGGAUAAUCAACCGCUGAAUUAUCUGUUACCACGUUUAAAAAAGUUUCCGAUUGGGAGGAGUCAGGUAAAUGUUGAUAUACUAGAAUGCUUUCCAUGGGUAUUGCCGCGACGUUUCCAUAUGUUUUGUAAAUCCAAGACAACGGCGUAUGUUGCUGCUUUGCUAAAUUAAUCAACAUUCGUGAAGUCUUUUUUAAUGUCUGCAAUGCGCCUUCAAACUUAAUCCUUACAGGAAUUGUAUUCAUACAAGGGCCCAUAACAGUUUCUGCACCUUCUAUGUAAGUUCUACCCGACAAAACUGUAUGAAACACAAUGUCAGGACAAUUUAGUACAGAGGCUAUAUAAUAACCCCAUGUAAAAAACACCAAGGACUGAAUACUAACCCCGUACAAUUGACAUGCCAGUCUUACUGAAGGUAAAGAUACUGUAGACAUCAUAGAACUCAUAAACUUUCCAUUGUUGGACAAGAACGGUAAGGGCUUAGGAAUAGAGAGGU